rnacentral:lncRNA from 1 species
UGUUAGAGUGAGAUGAAAGUAAAUACAGUUGAAUGUCCCGCAAAACUAAAGAAAAAGCAAAAAUAAAUAAUCUCACUCAGUGUUAAGUGCAAGUGUUUGUGUCGAUGGUCAUUAUGACGGCAAGGAGAGCCAGGCGGGUUCGGCAAAAGUGAGUGAAGUGCAAGAGUGAGUUGAGAGAAAAACAGUUGAAUGUCCCACAAAACUAAAGAAAGAGAGGAAAUAAAUAAUCUCACUCAAUAUAAGGUGCAAGUGUUGUCGAUGGUCAUUAUGAUGGCAAGGAGAGCCAGGCGGUUACGGCUAAAGUGAGUGAAGUGUUAGAGUGAAUUGAGAGAAAAACAGUUGAAUGUACCGCAAAACUAAAGAAAGAGCGGAAAUAAAUAAUCUCACUCAGUGUUAAGUGCAAGUGUUUGUGUCGAUGGUCAUUAUGACGGCAAGGAGAGCCAGGCGGUUACGGCUAAAGUGAGUGAAGUGCAAGAGUGAAUUGUGAGAAAAACAGUUGAAUGUCCCACAAAACUAAAGAAAGAGCGGAAAUAAAUAAUCUCACUCAGUGUUAAGUGCAAGUGUUUGUGUCGAUGGUCAUUAUGACGGCAAGGAGAGCCAGGCGGUUACGGCUAAAGUGAGUGAAGUGCAAGAGUGAGUUGAGAGAAAAACAGUUGAAUGUCCCACAAAACUAAAGAAAGAGCGGAAAUAAAUAAUCUCACUCAGUGUUAAGUGCAAGUGUUUGUGUCGAUGGUCAUUAUGACGGCAAGGAGAGCCAGGCGGGUUCGGCAAAAGUGAGUGAAGUGCAAGAGUGAGUUGAGAGAAAAACAGUUGAAUGUCCCACAAAACUAAAGAAAGAGAGGAAAUAAAUAAUCUCACUCAAUAUAAGGUGCAAGUGUUGUCGAUGGUCAUUAUGAUGUCAAGGAGAGCCAGGCGGUUACGGCUAAAGUGAGUGAAGUGCAAGAGUGAAUUGAGAGAAAAACAGUUGAAUAUACCGCAAAACUAAAGAAAGAGCGGAAAUAAAUAAUCUCACUCAGUGUUAAGUGCAAGUGUUUGUGUCGAUGGUCAUUAUGACGGCAAGGAGAGCCAGGCGGGUUCGGCAAAAGUGAGUGAAGUGCAAGAGUGAAUUGAGAGAAAAACAGUUGAAUGUCCCACAAAACUAAAGAAAGAGCGGAAAUAAAUAAUCUCACUCAGUGUUAAGUGCAAGUGUUUGUGUCGAUGGUCAUUAUGACGGCAAGGAGAGCCAGGCGGUUACGGCUAAAGUGAGUGAAGUGCAAGAGUGAAUUGAGAGAAAAACAGUUGAAUGUACCGCAAAACUAAAGAAAGAGCGGAAAUAAAUAAUCUCACUCAGUGUUAAGUGCAAGCGUUUGUGUCGAUGGUCAUUAUGACGGCAAGGAGAGCCAGGCGGUUACGGCUAAAGUGAGUGAAGUGUUAGAGUGAAUUGAGAGAAAAACAGUUGAAUGUCCCACAAAACUAAAGAAAGAGCGGAAAUAAAUAAUCUCACUCAGUGUUAAGUGCAAGUGUUUGUGUCGAUGGUCAUUAUGACGGCAAGGAGAGCCAGGCGGUUACGGCUAAAGUGAGUGAAGUGUUAGAGUGAAUUGAGAGAAAAACAGUUGAAUGUCCCACAAAACUAAAGAAAGAGCGGAAAUAAAUAAUCUCACUCAGUGUUAAGUGCAAGUGUUUGUGUCGAUGGUCAUUAUGACGGCAAGGAGAGCCAUGCGGUUGCGGCUCAAG